AUGGACGGUGAGAAGCAGAUCAAGUUCAUGACCUACAACGUCUGGUCCCGCGACGACGUUGUCGUCUACGAGCGGAUGAAGGUGAUCGGUGACCUCGUUCGGCAACAUUCGCCGGACGUAAUCUUCUUCCAGGAAAUCACGCCCUACAUCCACUUGAUCUUCGAAAGCUUCCCAUGGUGGGACGACUACCACUGCUCACCAGUGCCCCCGGAAAAACAAACGGUGAACCAUCACUUCUGCCUGAUGAAGUUCUUCUUGCAGUUGAGCAAGCUUCCAAUGGAGAGCUACGCGCGCUGGAAGUUUGGCACUUCCCCGACUGGCAAGUGCUACCUAGAGGCCGAUAUUACCCCUGGAUCAAUGAAGCCGAUCCGCAUCGCCACUACGCAGCUCGAGUGCCCCAUGCCACCGGCGUCGAUGCACCUCAGGGAUCGGUACAUGCAGGCCAAGCACGCCGUCUCUGCGCUGAGCAGCGGGGACAACGUUGUGUUCGGUGGCGACAUGAGCUGGGACGACAAGGCCGACAUGCCGUUCCCUCUCCAUGCAGGCUGGUGCGACGCCUGGGAAAAACUGAAAUGUGGGACUGGAGGUGAUAGUUGGACGUACAGUAGUUUGUGGGUGGAGAAGCCCCGGGAGUUCGGUGGCUUCGAAUUCCCUCACCUCUACAAGCGGUCAGACCGAUUUUUGUGCAAGCUACAAGACUACACUCUGGAAACAAUUGAGCUGAUCGGGGUUGGUCAUCUUGAGAUAUAUUGUUACCAUAAGGACCGCAGCAACGGCCACUUUAAGAUAAUGCCGAGUUGUCAUCGUGGGUUGGUUCUCACAAUCGUCCCCAAGUGA
rnacentral:rRNA from 1 species